rnacentral:rRNA from 1 species
CAGUCGCCACGGUAACACGUAGGGUGCAAGCGUUAAUCGGAAUUACUGGGCGUAAAGCGUGCGCAGGCGGUGUUGUAAGACUGAUGUGAAAUCCCCGGGCUCAACCUGGGAACUGCAUUGGUGACUGCAACGCUGGAGUGCGGCAGAGGGGGAUGGAAUUCCGCGUGUAGCAGUGAAAUGCGUAGAUAUGCGGAGGAACACCGAUGGCGAAGGCAAUCCCCUGGGCCUGCACUGACGCUCAUGCACGAAAGCGUGGAGAGCAAACAGGAUUAGAUACCCCGGUAGUCCCUGUCUCUUAUAC